GGCAGAGCCAAAACCGUAACAGCCAGAGCUAGAGACUCCGGCCUGGGGUUCUGGCUCUGUCCCGUAUCAGCUAGGAAACCCAGGGCAAGCUACUUAAACUCUCAGAGGCUCAGCUUUUUCAUGAGCAAACAGGAAAACAGGGCUAAUGAUUAGUCCUUGGCUUAAAAUACAUACCGCGUGUGAAAUUGCAGGUAUAUAAUAGAUUCACUAAAUGAGAGCACAAAUAAUGUAUGUUUUCUGAACCAUCUGAGGGCGAGUUAUCAACACUUACUCUCCAAUGCGUCAUCACCCCCAACACUCCUGUGUAUUUCCUGCAAAUAAGGAUCUUCUCCUACAUGGUCAGUCCGAACAACCUUCAGUCACAACUGAGAAGGUCACAUGGUGCAUCACUGCCGCUCAGUCUCCCCAAGCCCAGUGAUUUCUUCACAAUUAGGGAUCUGAGACCCGCAGUAUGGCAGUGACAAGAUCCAAGUCUUGGGACACCUAGCCAGGAGGGAAGAAUUUGAGGGAGAGGUGGAAAAUAUGCGAGGCUGAACUGACCUUCAAGGACAAGAAGGCUGUGUUCAGAUAGACAGAGUUUGUCUUCUGGGAGAGGAGUGGGCUUAUCCAGGAUGAUCCCAAAGGCAGAUUGAGGACCAGUGGGAGGACAUCCUGAGAAAGCAGAUCCAGCUUUAGGCAAGGAAGGACUUCGUAACAGGCAGAGAGCCCAUGUUGGAAACAAGCAGCUCUGCAAGGUGUGGGCCCACUGUCUGACUCCCUGCGGGGCUGCUGCCUUGGAAGAGCCUCCUGCUUAGAGAGGUUCUCCUGCCGCCAGCUGUCUCUCCUGAGUCCUGAGCACCACAUCUCUGGACCGUCUGGAGCCUCCCCUCCCUUGGCUUACUGCUCCCACCACCCUCUCUCUCCACCUUGCAAGAGACACUCUCCCUCAUCCUGGGUCAUCACCCUCUUUAGAGGCGCCGCCUGGCCACGAGGUGGGCAGGAUCUUGGCCUUACUUGAUGCAGUGCACACCUCCAACAGGCAUCAGAUGGAGUGCAGCCGGGAGCAAGAUUCUCAUAGCAAUUACAAAGAUUCACAAGAAAAUGUGCCCUCCACUACACAGCUGUAAUUUACAUGCUUUCAAACUUGAUAUGGAAUGACUGUGGUUUCCCCUGAAAGAAGCAUCACUGAUCUCUGCACAGGAGAAACAAGGUGGGCACUGAGGGAAGGGCUUUGAAACUGAGACGGGAGCCUGGCUCCCGCCCCAGCCUGGCUAGAGAUCUUGAAUGUGGGUUUCUGAACACAGCAUGGGGCUGUGACUGGGCGUCCCUAAGAAGAGUGGUCAGCAUGCCGUGCCCCAUCACCAGGGGGUUAGAUGUUGUGGGUCCAGCUGAGGCAGAGAGGAGCUGGGAAUAUAAGACAGGCCAGCUCCUGGCCUGGCAGCUGAGGCCUGCAGGCUGCCUGGCCAUGAGUUUGGGGGACCAUGUCAGGCCGGUAGGCCACCUUUCCUUACAGAGACACCCUGUGACAGUGGCCACUGCAACAGACCCUCAGAUGAGGUGCUGUGACUAGGACUUGACCUUUUGGACUUGGAAAGCAUCCAUUGGGCUGGGGGGCUCUUGGAGUUAUUUAGAAGGAGGACCCCGAGAUUCCCUUGAAAGAGAUGAUGUAAUCCCAAAUGCUAGAGAAUGUGACCUCAUUUUAUGCUCCAAGUAGCUGACAUUGGAAUUGGGUUAUAAAUGCAUUUUUGC
ensembl:lncRNA novel transcript